rnacentral:ncRNA from 2 species
AUUCUGUUUCAGGGCGAGGUGAAAAUCCUCACUGGCGGUAAUCGGAGCCGGCCGCAGCAGGCCGUGCUUCCCGAGAGUCCGCGAACCCUGCGUUUUCGCAGGGCCGAUCCGGUGAGAUCCCGGAACCAACGGUUACAGUCCGGAUGGAAGAGGCAGAAA